CCCUGCCAUUUGUACACACCGCCCGUCGCACCUACCGAUUGAAUGACUCGGUGAAAAAUUGGGACCGUGAGUCCGCUUGCUUCAUUGCGAGUGGAUUGAUGGAAACUUUUUUAAACCUCGCCAUUUAGAGGAAGGUGAAGUCGUAACAAG
rnacentral:rRNA from 1 species